rnacentral:rRNA from 1 species
GGAUCUUCGGACCUCACGCUAUCAGAUGAGCCUAGGUCGGAUUAGCUAGUUGGUGGGGUAAAGGCCUACCAAGGCGACGAUCCGUAACUGGUCUGAGAGGAUGAUCAGUCACACUGGAACUGAGACACGGUCCAGACUCCUACGGGAGGCAGCAGUGGGGAAUAUUGGACAAUGGGCGAAAGCCUGAUCCAGCCAUGCCGCGUGUGUGAAGAAGGUCUUCGGAUUGUAAAGCACUUUAAGUUGGGAGGAAGGGCAGUAAGUUAAUACCUUGCUGUUUUGACGUUACCAACAGAAUAAGCACCGGCUAACUUCGUGCCAGCAGCCGCGGUAAUACGAAGGGUGCAAGCGUUAAUCGGAAUUACUGGGCGUAAAGCGCGCGUAGGUGGUUCAGCAAGUUGGAUGUGAAAUCCCCGGGCUCAACCUGGGAACUGCAUCCAAAACUACUGAGCUAGAGUACGGUAGAGGGUGGUGGAAUUUCCUGUGUAGCGGUGAAAUGCGUAGAUAUAGGAAGGAACACCAGU